CCUCCGGGAGGCAGCAGUGAGGAAUAUUGGUCAAUGGCCGGAAGGCUGAACCAGCCAUGCCGCGUGAAGGUCAGUGCCCUAUGGGCGUUAAACUUCUUUUGUGCGGGAGCAAUAAUGGUCACGUGUGGCCAGACGAGAGUACCGUACGAAUAAGCAUCGGCUAACUCCGUGCCAGCAGCCGCGGUUAUACGGGGGGUGCAAGAGUUAUCCGGGUUUAUUGGGUUUAAAGGGUGCGUAGGCUGGGAGGUAAGUCAGCGGGGAAAUGCCCCCGGUCAACGGGGUGAAGUGCCAUUGAUACUGCCUUGCUGGAGUGCGGAUGCGGUGGGAGGAAUGGGUGGUGUAGCGGUGAAAUGCUUAGAUAUCACACAGAACACCGAUUGCGAAGGCAGCUCACGAAUCCGCGAUUGACGCUGAUGCACGAAAGCGUGGGUAUCAAACAGGAUUAGAUACCCUAGUAGUC
rnacentral:rRNA from 1 species